rnacentral:rRNA from 1 species
CGAACUGGGUAACCUGCCCAUCAGAGGGGGAUAACAUUCGGAAACGGAUGCUAAAACCGCAUAGGUCUUCGAACCGCAUGGUUUGAAGAGGAAAAGAGGCGCAAGCUUCUGCUGAUGGAUGGACCCGCGGUGCAUUAGCUAGUUGGUGAGGUAACGGCUCACCAAGGCCGUGAUGCAUAGCCGACCUGAGAGGGUGAUCGGCCACAUUGGGACUGAGACACGGCCCAA